AUGAGUAACACUGGCAGCGCUUCGUGUUUUAUUCCGGAUCUCAAGUCAUCAUACUCCGAUGAAGAUAACACGUUGGUGCGAAAUUUGUCAGGAAUGAAUUUACCUGAGAAAAUUCUAUUCGUAAUCGAUACGACAAGGGAGAGAAAUUGUACUCCUUUUAAACUUUCUACAGGAGCUAGCUAUAUGCCUCUGUUUAUGAUAAAACGAACUAUUGAAAAUUUUAUUUACAUUAAAUCUAUCAUUCAACAUAGUCAUGAAUAUGCAUUAAUGAUUUUGAAUUCUCACAGCUCUCAAUGGAUAUGCGAUUUUACCAAUAACACCAACAGCAUUGUUAAUCACUUGAAUCUUAUUAAUGAUGAUCUUCUAGAAGAAGAUAAAAAAUCAUACGAUUUUGGGCAAAUGUUUGAUGAAAUACAACGAAACUUACCUCUACCAACAAAAGAACAUGACACAGCUGUUCCAGCAUUUGUUGUCAGAGUAAUUUUAGUGUAUUCACGCUCCAACAGUGUACCAAAAUUUCAUAUUGAUAAAAAACCUUUAGAUACUCUUACAACAAAUCCAUAUUUUUUUAUAGAUGUAUUGUAUGUACAUGAACCACCUUGCUCAGAAAAUUUAUGCGAAGAAGUUUAUUCUGAAAUAGCAAAAUUGGAUACAACAAAUUUUUCAUACAUAUUAGAAGUAGGAAGGAACGCAGCAAAAUUGCAUGACAGUAUGGCUAAACUACUGGCGCAUCCCCUACAAAGGCCACCUCAAAAAGAUGUAUGUUAUGCAAUUUGUCCAUCUCCUGGUUCUCAAGAAACAUGUAAUAAUAUUUAAGUGUAUAACUUCUGUCUUCUGAAAAUUGUUAAAAGGAACAUUAAUAUUGUCACGCACGAAAUAUUACGACAAGGGAUGGAUAAAACAACAUUUUUUGAUUUAUCAUAAAUUUUAUAUCAAACUUUAUAAUCAUUUACAAAACAAUGUAACAUAACAUGAGAAUAUUCAUCAACCAUUCGCUCGCACGUAUUAUUAAAUGUAAAAACAAGAAGUUGUCCUUUUUAACUGGAACCAGUGUGAUAUCAUAUAAAGAACUGAAGAUAUAUAUAUACAUAUAUGAAUGUUGUUACAAAUCUUUGGUUUGAUUUGAAAGAGGAUUGAUUAUGUGUCAUAUAAAUAAAUAGCUUUUCUGUAAGUGAAGUAAUUCCUUUAAAUGAAACGCUAUAUUUAUGUAUGUGACAAUAUUUACUGAAACGAAUGAAACGAUAUGCAAUUGCCGUUGACAAUGAACGUGAAAUAUCUUUAAAAAGAGAUACAUACGAUUCAUGGGGAAUAGUUAUCUAUAUCAGAUAAUGCAUUUUAAUGUAUGUACUUUGUAAUAUAUUAUCUCGAUAUCAGAUUAUUCUUGUAAGGACAGUUCUUUAAUGUCUUCAGCUUGUUAUACGAUAUUCUACCGUUUUCCGUUAAAACAUAUACCCUGCAUAUCAAAUAUUACUUGGUAACACGAUUGUUUGGUGAUUUCAAAUAACCAAGUGAAGUUAACAUCUCACAUGAGAGAAUGUUACAUAUCACUUGUGUAUCACUUAUUUAGCUGUAAUGGGAAGAUUAAUACAGUAUAUAUAUUUACAAACGA